rnacentral:pre_miRNA from 1 species
CAACUCUCAUCCUACACCGUUAGAUCGAGAAAUGGACGUCCGAGAUUCAUUUACGUCACCAUGAGUUAUAAUUUAACUUUUAGUAAAUUUUAACUCAUGAGUGAAUCUGCGAGUUAAAUUUUAACUCUCGGACGUCCAUUUCUCGAUCCAACGGUGUAAGAUGAGAGUUG